GUACACACCGCCCGUCACACCAUGAGAGUUGGAAAUACCCGAAGCCUGUGAGCUAACUUAAAGAGGCAGCAGUCGAAGGUAGAGCCAAUGAUUGGGGUGAAGUCGUAACAAGGUAAC
rnacentral:rRNA from 1 species